rnacentral:ncRNA from 1 species
AUAUUUGCAUUGAUGAGGAUAGAGUAGUUUUUGUCUCACUGUCUCAGAGAAUCGGUGGCUGCUGUGAACCGAUACACAGACUAAAAUGAAUUACCCCCUCGGAGCAACUUCUUUGAAAGAAGAACGUAUGAGAGGCGUUAACUCUAUUUUUGAGAGGAGAAUUAAUUGAUUAAUUCUCAAUCAGGGUGGUACCGCGAAUAACUCGUCCCUAAA